rnacentral:rRNA from 1 species
UACGAAGGGGGCUAGCGUUGCUCGGAAUCACUGGGCGUAAAGGGUGCGUAGGCGGUUCUUUAAGUCAGGGGUGAAAUCCUGGAGCUCAACUCCAGAACUGCCUUUGAUACUGAAGAUCUUGAGUUCGGGAGAGGUGAGUGGAACUGCGAGUGUAGAGGUGAAAUUCGUAGAUAUUCGGAAGAACACCAGUGGCGAAGGCGACUUACUGGACACAUAUUGACGCUGAGGUGCGAAAGCGUGGGGAGCAAACAGG